rnacentral:lncRNA from 1 species
AUAGCCGGAGGCCAGAAAGUAAGACAAAUAACAGCUCACCUGCCUGGGUUGUUGGAGCAACAAGAAACUUUAAGAGCAAUCCUCCAUUUGCCAGGGAAAGAGAACUGGAAAGCUGAGCUGGAGUUUGAAAGACAAGAUAUAUUUCAAACUUCCCUUGAACUUUCUCCAGUAAGUAUAAUUGUGUGCUUGUUGUCAACCCGGUCUUAGUCCUUGUCAUUACAGGUUCAGUAGCUGCAAAGGUGAAAUGUUUUCACUAAUAUUGAACGUCAUCUAUUUUAUAUUCUGGAUCAGCAUGGAUGUUUUUUAGCUUCUUCAGACGGCUCUGUAAUGGAGUUAUAUUUGGAAGUUUCCCAGUAUGGUGCAAAAAGCCUCAUAGAGAGAGGAAGUUUAUAAACUGCAGUUCUAUGCGAAGAAGAAAGGCCAGAUGCUCAUCCUGCAUGACUCCUCCUUGAGCCUUUGUAUUUUCCCAGCUAGACCUUUCAGGCUUCCUAUUUAUACAUUUAUCUCGAGUAUACCGAGUGGUGACAAAGAUGCGAAUCGGCCAGCACAUUUUCACUCAGUGUAGAGAGAAGCCAUUUAAAGACUGAGAUAACAUUUCAAGAAAACAAUAAAACCUGACAAUAAGGGAAGAUGAGAAAAAAGGAACAUUCCUGACUGUGGUUCUGACAUUCACUA